rnacentral:rRNA from 1 species
GGAUGAACGCUGGCGGCGUGCCUACUACAUGCAAGUCGAGCGAACAGACGAGGAGCUUGCUCCUCUGACGUUAGCGGCGGACGGGUGAGUAACACGUGGAUAACCUACCUAUAAGACUGGGAUAACUUCGGGAAACCGGAGCUAAUACCGGAUAAUAUAUUGAACCGCAUGGUUCAAUAGUGAAAGACGGUUUUGCUGUCACUUAUAGAUGGAUCCGCGCCGCAUUAGCUAGUUGGUAAGGUAACGGCUUACCAAGGCGACGAUGCGUAGCCGACCUGAGAGGGUGAUCGGCCACACUGGAACUGAGACACGGUCCAGACUCCUACGGGAGGCAGCAGUAGGGAAUCUUCCGCAAUGGGCGAAAGCCUGACGGAGCAACGCCGCGUGAGUGAUGAAGGUUUUCGGAUCGUAAAACUCUGUUAUUAGGGAAGAACAAAUGUGUAAGUAACUAUGCACGUCUUGACGGUACCUAAUCAGAAAGCCACGGCUAACUACGUG